rnacentral:hammerhead_ribozyme from 1 species
GUACUGCUGAGGAGUCCCAUACUAGGAUAAAACGGCCGUCCAGUAU